GGGCCACCCUCCUGCUGGAGGCAACCCCGACAGCCCAUAUUUUAAGCAGCUCUUUUCACAGCCUGCAAACCUCACGGAUUGUCUCUUACAACUGUCUGUUUACUCACUUCCCUCCACCCAGUCAAUUCCGACUCCAGGCCCGGGAGGACAAUUUUAAAGUGUUUCUGCAGACAGACCCUCUGGCCGCGCCGGAAGUGUUUUAUGGACCUGUUUUUAUUCUUCCAGCCCUGUGGAAAGGAGGAGAGCCGCAACCCGGAGAGGGAGCCGGAAAGAAACACUUAAUCACCGGCGUCUCGCUGCUCGUCACGCGAAGAUGGCAGCGGCUCCCCUGGGUUUCAAGGUUCCGGGAAAGGCGUGUGUUCUGCCUUAAGGCGCGCGGGCUGAUGCGCUCUCUCCCUCGGCUCGGCGGCCGGCUCCGGCUCACAGAGCCUCUCUCAACGCCGGCAAGUGCAGCCGGGCCGCCCAGCCCCCAGGCCAGCCUGGCCCCCUCUGGGCCUGGGGUUGGCGAGGGCAGCUGGGCGUCUGCGCUGCCCAGCCCAGCCGCGGAUCCAUGGGGUUUCGCGAGCUGAAAGUAAAGGCUUGAGGGAGUGGGGACACCCACACCGACCCGCGGCACGCAGGGGAGUCAAGCUGCGGCCAAUGCAAGACGAGCAGGGUAGACUACUACUAGCGGUGGCCGGAGGCUCAGCCACCUUCGCGGGAGAGGGGAUUUACCGCCACCCUCAUCCACGCGCAGGCCCCACCGCCCGGUCCUCUCCUCUGAUCCCCGGGCCAUUGCGAAACACGGAGCGAACAGGUCCUCGCCAGCAGCCGUCAUUUCCCGGGAAGAUGGGAACCCACAAGCCUGACUGUGCUUCCUAAGGAUACUAGCGUGCGCGCAGACCUUGGGGGGAAAGAGGGCAGCGCGGUCUCCCCGACCCGGACUCUUCCCUGGCGCAGCACACAACCGCCACGGGCUUCCGAAGCGCCCGAGCGGGGAGGAGGAAGGAAAAGCGGAGGCCCGGGAGGCGGGCUGCGCGCUUGGAAGCCGUGUGUGUUUAUGUGUCUGCGCGCGCGCCCUGGCCGGACGGGUGUUGAGGGGAGAGUGAUCGUGAGCAACCCGGAACCAGCAGUCCCAACCUGGACUGACGAACUGGGCUCUCCAGUCCUGGGCCGUGGGGCUCCAUGCCUCGGGCUGGCGGGACAAGCGGCGGGGAGCCCGGAGCUUCGGAGCCGCCGCCGGGCAUCUAGCCAGCUCCGCGGGAGAAGCCCGGGGGCGCGUCGGGAGCCAGGGGACUGGUGUGAACUAGCCGCCCCCGCAGGCGGACGUUUAGCUCCGGCACCCGGGAGCACUGACACUGGGCGAUAAGGAGUUCCUCGGCAAUCGGCUGUCCCCAGUCCCCAGUCACCUCCGGCGGACGUGACCGCCGGAUGCUAUGCAGCUAGGUGGGCCAGGGGGGCCUUUGCAUUGCCUUCCCUGACCCCUUCCUUGCCGCGGAGGAGCCACAGUAAGAUGCCUCUGUACGACUCUCCAGAACUUUCUUUUGCAAAAUAAAGGCCAAAUGUUGGGCCUUCUAGUCUCUUCAUAUUUUCCUUUGGAAGGUUGGGGUCCAGGCAGUCCUCUCGAAACAACCCCCAAACAGAUCACUUUCAUUACAAAACGCUAGAGAGGCAACACAGCCCUAUUUCUCUCUCUGGUCAAUCCAGGCCCUAUCUCUCCCUCUGGUCAAUCCAGGCCCUAUUAUCCCAAGCUGUGCGGCUUUGGGCAAACCGCUUAACAGUUCGAAACCUCGGAGUCCUCAUCUGUAAAAUAAGACCAAUACUAUUAUCUACCUCGUAGGGUUGUUCUGAGGAUAACAUGCCUCCAUACAUAAGGUGCUUAGAACGCUGCCUCCAGUACAAUGCUACGUGUGUUUGUUACUAUGAUCUGGCACUCCCUUUGGAUGGGUAGGGAGUACAAAGUUCCGGGUUAAAGUUCCUGGAAGUUUACAUGGAGCCAGUGGUCUUGGCAGGGUGGAAAGGGCACUAUUGUAUGGCCACUGAAAAGUGAAGGCCAAAUGCCCUCAAACUGUCUAGGUCUCCACUAGACCGUCCCAUAAAGGCUUGUGUGUGUGUGGUGGUGGAUAGGAGGGAGAGUCCUUUUUAAUGGUGCUCAUUUAGACUGGAUUAAUAGCAAGUUCCGUCAGGGCUCAGGCACCAUUACCCACUCUCUCCCUGCAGCCCUGGGGAAGAGCGCUGGUUUCCAGGACCUCCAGCCUACUCUUCCAGGACACCUUUUUUGAUGGCUGAAGGCCACCUCUUUAAAUCAGUUCUCGGAGGAGUUGGCCAAAAGCCAUGUCCUCUGGGAUGUACUUUGGUCUAACACUGGUGCAGGGCUGGCGUAUGGCAGGCCUUGUCCCUGGGCCGCUGGCGGGCCACAUUUUACUGGUGCACAGAUGCAAAUACCACUUCUGUAGACAGAAUCGGUCAGACUUCUAAUUUCAAAAGGCUUCCCAUUACCUUUGAAAUGGCG
rnacentral:lncRNA from 1 species